GAUGAACGCUAGCGAUAGGCUUAACACAUGCAAGUCGAGGGGUAACGUGUUGGAAGCUUGCUUCCGAUGACGACGACCGGCGGAUGGGUGCGUAACGCGUAUGCAACUUGCCUCACAGUGGAGAAUAACCCGGAGAAAUCCGGACUAAUACUCCAUACACUCUUAAGUACGCCUGUACAUGAGAGGAAAGAUUUAUCGCUGUGAGAUAGGCAUGCGUCCUAUUAGGUAGUUGGUGAGGUAACGGCUCACCAAGCCGACGAUAGGUAGGGGUGCUGAGAGGCAGAUCCCCCACAUUGGGACUGAGACACGGCCCAAACUCCUACGGGAGGCAGCAGUGAGGAAUAUUGGACAAUGGAGGAAACUCUGAACCAGCCAAGUCGCGUGAAGGAAGAAUGUCCUAAGGAUUGUAAACUUCUUUAGCGAGCGAGUAAGGACUUCCACGUGAUGGGAGUUUGAAAGUAGCUCGAGAAUAAGUAUCGGCUAACUCCGUG
rnacentral:rRNA from 1 species